GACGAACGCUGGCGGCGUGCUUAACACAUGCAAGUCGAACGGAAAGGCCCUGCUUUUGUGGGGUGCUCGAGUGGCGAACGGGUGAGUAACACGUGAGUAACCUGCCCUUGACUUUGGGAUAACUUCAGGAAACUGGGGCUAAUACCGGAUAGGAGCUCCUGCUGCAUGGUGGGGGUUGGAAAGUUUCGGCGGUUGGGGAUGGACUCGCGGCUUAUCAGCUUGUUGGUGGGGUAGUGGCUUACCAAGGCUUUGACGGGUAGCCGGCCUGAGAGGGUGACCGGCCACAUUGGGACUGCGAUACGGACCAGACUCCUACGGGCGGCAGCAGUGGGGAAUAUUGCACAAUGGGCGGAAGCCUGAUGCAGCAACGCCGCGUGCGGGAUGACGGCCUUCGGGUUGUAAACCGCUUUCGCCUGUGACGAAGCGUGAGUGACGGUAAUGGGUAAAGAAGCACCGGCUAACUACGUG
rnacentral:rRNA from 1 species